rnacentral:tRNA from 1 species
GAUGCUAUGGCUCAGUUGGUAGAGCGCACCCUUGGUAAGGGUGAGGUCCCCAGUUCGACUCUGGGUAUCAGCACCA